UACGUAGGUGGCAAGCGUUGUCCGGAUUUACUGGGCGUAAAGAGCGCGCAGGCGGUCGGAUAAGUCGAAUGUGAAAGCCCCCGGCUCAACUGGGGAGGGUCAUUCGAUACUGUUCGACUCGAAGGCAGGAGAGGGAAGUGGAAUUCCCGGUGUAGUGGUGAAAUGCGUAGAUAUCGGGAGGAACACCAGUGGCGAAGGCGACUUCCUGGCCUGUUCUUGACGCUGAGGUGCGAAAGCUAGGGGAGCAAACGGG
rnacentral:rRNA from 1 species